rnacentral:rRNA from 1 species
AUUGAACGCUGGCGGCGUGCCUAACACAUGCAAGUCGAGCGGUAACAGGUGUAGCAAUACAUGCUGACGAGCGGCGGACGGGUGAGUAACACGUGGAUAACCUACCUAUAAGACUGGGAUAACUUCGGGAAACCGGAGCUAAUACCGGAUAACAUAUUGAACCGCAUGGUUCAAUAGUGAAAGGCGGCUUUGCUGUCACUUAUAGAUGGAUCCGCGCCGUAUUAGCUAGUUGGUAAGGUAACGGCUUACCAAGGCAACGAUACGUAGCCGACCUGAGAGGGUGAUCGGCCACACUGGAACUGAGACACGGUCCAGACUCCUACGGGAGGCAGCAGUAGGGAAUCUUCCGCAAUGGGCGAAAGCCUGACGGAGCAACGCCGCGUGAGUGAUGAAGGUCUUCGGAUCGUAAAACUCUGUUAUCAGGGAAGAACAAAUGUGUAAGUAACUGUGCACAUCUUGACGGUACCUGAUCAGAAAGCCACGGCUAACUACGUGC